UACAGAGGUCCCAAGCGUUGUUCGGAUUCACUGGGCGUAAAGGGUGCGUAGGCGGUCGGGUAAGUCUGAUGUGAAAUCUCACAGCUUAACUGUGAAACUGCAUUGGAUACUAUCCGGCUCGAGGAAUGGAGGGGAGACUGGAAUACUUGGUGUAGCAGUGAAAUGCGUAGAUAUCAAGUGGAACACCAGUGGCGAAGGCGGCGACCUGGACGGACAUUGACGCUGAGACGCGAAAGCGUGGGGAGCAAACAGG
rnacentral:rRNA from 1 species